AACGAACGCUGGCGGCAGGCCUAACACAUGCAAGUCGAACGCUGUAGCAAUACAGAGUGGCAGACGGGUGAGUAACGCGUGGGAACCUUCCCAGUGGUACGGAAUAGCUCAGGGAAACUUGAGGUAAUACCGUAUAAGCCCCUAGGGGGAAAGAUUUAUCGCCAUUGGAUGGGCCCGCGUCGGAUUUAGCUAGUUGGUGAGGUAAUGGGCUCACCAAGGCGACGAUCCGUAGCUGGUUUGAGAGAAUGACCAGCCACACUGGGACUGAGACACGGCCCAGACUCCUACGGGAGGCUG
rnacentral:rRNA from 1 species